rnacentral:rRNA from 1 species
GACGAACGCUGGCGGCGUGCUUAACACAUGCAAGUCGAACGGAAAGGCCCUGCUUUUGUGGGGUGCUCGAGUGGCGAACGGGUGAGUAACACGUGAGUAACCUGCCCUUGACUUUGGGAUAACUUCAGGAAACUGGGGCUAUUACCGCAUAGGAGCUCCUGCUGCAUGGUGGGGGUUGGAAAGUUUCGGCGGUUGGGGAUGGACUCGCGGCUUAUCCGCUUGUUGGUGAGGUAGUGGCUUACCAAGGCUUUGACGGGUAGCCGGCCUGAGAGGGUUACCGGCCACAUGGGGACUGAGAUACGGCCCAGACUCCUACGGGAGGCAGCAGUGGGGAAUAUUGCACAAUGGGGGGAAGCGUGAGGCAGCAACGCCGCGUGCGGGAUGACGGCCUUCGGGUUGUAAACCGCUUUCGCCUGUGACGAAGCGUGAGUGACGGUAAUGGGUAAAGAAGCACCGGCUAACUACGUG